GAUGAAGAACGCAGCGAAAUGCGAUAACUAAUGUGAAUUGCAGAAUUCCGUGAAUCAUCGAGUCUUUGAACGCACAUUGCGCCCCCUGGUAUUCCGGGGGGCAUGCCUGUCCGAGCGUCAUUGCUGCCCAUCAAGCACGGCUUGUGUGUUGGGUCCUCGUCCCCCCCGGGGGACGUGCCCGAAAGGCAGCGGCGGCACCGCGUCCGGUCCUCGAGCGUAUGGGGCUUUGUCACCCGCUCUGCAGGCCCGGCCGGCGCUUGCCGACACAUCAAUCUUUUUUCCAGGUUGACCUCGGAUCAGGUAGGGAUACCCGCUGAACUUAAGCAUAUCAAUAAGCGGAGGA
rnacentral:misc_RNA from 1 species